UUCUUUCAUUCUUAGGUUCGGAAGUGAAAAAUUUGACUUUUCUACGCCAGAAGUUACAGCUAAUGUUCCUAAGACAAACCAGGCUUUCCCUGAGUUCUUAUCUGGACAUUUCAGUUAUUGACUCUGACGUAGAAGGUAGAAAUACAAGCUCUCUUUUGAGGUGAAAAUUUUGUGCAUGAUUUGGCUUUCAUUGAGACGUCUCUGGGUCAGGAGUUACUAAGGAAGAGAAACUUACAUGCAGGUUGAAGCAUGCAGUGUCAAAUGUAUAAGGAAUAUAAAAGAUGCUGUAUAUAAGUUUGAAUAACCAUAAUAAAAAAAUUUCUUGAAAA